GACGAACGCUGGCGGCGUGCUUAACACAUGCAAGUCGAACGAUGAAGCCUAGCUUGCUAGGUGGAUUAGUGGCGAACGGGUGAGUAAUACGUGAGUAACCUACCUUUAACUCUGGGAUAAGCCUGGGAAACUGGGUCUAAUACCGGAUACGACCAAUCUCCGCAUGGGGUGUUGGUGGAAAGCGUUAUGUAGUGGUUAUAGAUGGGCUCACGGCCUAUCAGCUUGUUGGUGAGGUAACGGCUCACCAAGGCGACGACGGGUAGCCGGCCUGAGAGGGUGACCGGCCACACUGGGACUGAGACACGGCCCAGACUCCUACGGGAGGCAGCAGUGGGGAAUAUUGCACAAUGGGCGCAAGCCUGAUGCAGCGACGCCGCGUGAGGGAUGACGGCCUUCGGGUUGUAAACCUCUGUUAGCAGGGAAGAAGAGAGAUUGACGGUACCUGCAGAGAAAGCGCCGGCUAACUACGUGCCAGCAGCCGCGGUAAUACGUAGGGCGCUAGCGUUGUCCGGAAUUAUUGGGCGUAAAGAGCUUGUAGGCGGUUUGUCGCGUCUGCUGUGAAGGCCGGAGCUUAACUCCGUGUAUUGCAGUGGGUACGGGCAGACUAGAGUGCAGUAGGGGAGACUGGAAUUCCUGGUGUAGCGGUGGAAUGCGCAGAUAUCAGGAGGAACACCGAUGGCGAAGGCAGGUCUCUGGGCUGUAACUGACGCUGAGAAGCGAAAGCAUGGGGAGCGAACAGGAUUAGAUACCCUGGUAGUCCAUGCCGUAAACGUUGGGCACUAGGUGUGGGGAACAUUCCACGUUUUCCGCGCCGUAGCUAACGCAUUAAGUGCCCCGCCUGGGGAGUACGGCCGCAAGGCUAAAACUCAAAGAAAUUGACGGGGGCCCGCACAAGCGGCGGAGCAUGCGGAUUAAUUCGAUGCAACGCGAAGAACCUUACCAAGGCUUGACAUAUACUGGAUCGCAUCAGAGAUGGUGUUUCCCUUCGGGGCUGGUAUACAGGUGGUGCAUGGUUGUCGUCAGCUCGUGUCGUGAGAUGUUGGGUUAAGUCCCGCAACGAGCGCAACCCUCGUUCUAUGUUGCCAGCACGUUAUGGUGGGGACUCAUAGGAGACUGCCGGGGUCAACUCGGAGGAAGGUGGGGAUGACGUCAAAUCAUCAUGCCCCUUAUGUCUUGGGCUUCACGCAUGCUACAAUGGCCGGUACAGAGGGUUGCGAUACUGUGAGGUGGAGCUAAUCCCUAAAAGCCGGUCUCAGUUCGGAUUGGGGUCUGCAACUCGACCCCAUGAAGUCGGAGUCGCUAGUAAUCGCAGAUCAGCAACGCUGCGGUGAAUACGUUCCCGGGCCU
rnacentral:rRNA from 1 species